CGCGCUUCCUGCAGGUGUCUCUAAAUCGCACAGAAAGGAAGCCAAAAUAUCUGCAGUCGCCAAACGCUGCCAUCUUGUGCAUUCGGAGCCAGAGUCGGUGCGGUAGCGAUCUGGGGAUGGAGCCACGGUGUCGAGGGUCCGUGAAUACACGCGCUUGACCAAUGCAGCUUGAGUUUGCGCAGGUGUCAUCAUGUGACCUACAACCCAGACCUGUCACAGUAAGGGGCUGGAGCUGUGGACCAGUGGAUGGAGUCAGUGGAUGGCUGGAAAAAGACCAAGGAGGCUGCUCAACCUGUGCAGAAUGAGAUCCAUGGAAGAGAAUCUGGCCCCUAAUCCAGAUCAGCAACAGGGGAUUAGAGGCAGCGAGAGGUCCACAAAUAUAACCACGUCUCACCAGGACAGAUCAUUUAAUCCAGGAUGAGGAUUUGCAGGAGUGUGAGAGGAUUUCCAGAACAUCACAUCUUCCCAUAUCCACGACAGACUGAUGAAGACUGUGUUGGAGCAGAAAGCUCUGGAAAAAAGCCGUUUGAGGAUGUGAAGGCUCAAAACUACAAGAUCUCACUUUGCUUCUUAUUCUUCUUCAUGCCUGAGAUAUUUGAAUCUACGUACUUUUACUCCAGAACUGUUAAUUACAAAUUUGAGGUUUUAACUUUUCAUAUAUUUAAACACAUUACUUACUUUAGCAAGGUUUUGAAUGAAGGACUUUUACUUGUACUGCAUUGUUUUUAAAGUGUGAAGAAAGUACUUUUAUUUUAGUAAAGGAUCAGAAUACUUCUCCACCAAUGCUUUAAGGAGGCAACACAUAUUUGAUAAAAGUUGCCCAAUGUUUGGAUUUGUUGGAAAAGGCUUCUGAGACCAAAUGCCUAACUAUGGUUAUGCUGACCUAAAAUAUACUGUCUGACGAUGAAGGUUUAGCAACUGGUCAAAUAUUCAUGUGAAAGCCGGGAAAGUUUGAGCCGUAUAUUUCGGCGUACCGCUUAAAAAUGUGAACAGAAUUAACAUGACAGUGUGCAUUCUCUUUACAGUGCAGCCACAUUUAAAGCCGUGCAGCAGAGAGAGCAUUGUUGUCCUGUUUUCAUCAGCUCCUGGCAAAAAAAAAAAAGUAUCUGUCAGAACAGCUUUAGUGUUUUAUAGCUCAGAGGAAACACAAUACAUUUUACGCACUUGAUUGUCUCUGUUUAUCACAAACAAAAAACCAUGACACAUGCAAACAAUGGCUGAGUUUGGAAACAGGGAAAUCAAGAAAAUGAUAUGUUUUGCAGCUUGUACUUAUCCAAAUGCACUAAACAAAAAUGAAGGUUUUGUUCACUCCAUUUUCACGAAGCCGCCUUCUCUCUCAUGGCUUGUAAACAGUGCGUUUUCAAAAGAUUUAAUUUUGAUCUCCCUAUUCUCCCCUCUCAAUGGUGAAUAACUGGUUUCUAAUUUCCAAAUAUGUGGGUGUUUAAUGAGGCCUGAGACGUUUUAUUCUCCCGCUAUAACGCUGUCUACAAAAUUGUGCGCUGCUGAGUGUAAUCAUGCAAUGCUAUCUGGCACAGACAACACUCUGGCUGCAGCGAGGCAAAACCUGCAGCCCCGAACUGCUCCACUUACGGGGCGGCUGAUGUGAGGGGAGCAGACAGGCGAGAGUGGAAAGCCCUCCAGUCAUGCAAAAUGCAAAAGAAAUAUGAGUUUAUUGCAGCUCCCUAAUGGUGACAUAACAAUCUGUUCGGCCACUUCCCUCCCCCCCUCCAAAUCUCGGUGCAUUCUGGGAGAGUGCUUCGUUCCGCGGGACGGUCUGAAAAGUCCGUCCGUGUGAGUGAGUUUAAACAUCAUCGAGUUUGAAAUGCAGCUUCGACCAGCUCAUCUGUGGCGGCUUUUAUUUAUUUAUCUUCGGUUCUCCGUGUCAGUGCAGUAAAUGCUCCUGAAAGACAAAAAUGACGCCCAGCAA